GGGCUCACCUCUGCAGCACAAAUACUAAAAUUGGAACGAUACAGAGAAGAUUAGCAUGGCCUCUGCACAAGGAUGACUCGCAAAUUCGGGAGGCGUUCCAUAUUUUU
rnacentral:snRNA from 1 species